rnacentral:rRNA from 1 species
UACGUAGGGUGCGAGCGUUGUCCGGAAUUAUUGGGCGUAAAGAGCUUGUAGGCGGUUUGUCGCGUCUGCCGUGAAAAUCCGAGGCUCAACCUCGGACUUGCGGUGGGUACGGGCAGACUAGAGUGUGGUAGGGGAGACUGGAAUUCCUGGUGUAGCGGUGAAAUGCGCAGAUAUCAGGAGGAACACCGGUGGCGAAGGCGGCAUCCUGGACCAACACUGACGCUGAGGCGCGAAAGCUAGGGGAGCAAACGGG